GACGAACGCUGGCGGCGUGCCUAAUACAUGCAAGUUGAGCGCUGAAGGUUGGUACUUGUACCAACUGGAUGAGCAGCGAACGGGUGAGUAACGCGUGGGGAAUCUGCCUUUGAGCGGGGGACAACAUUUGGAAACGAAUGCUAAUACCGCAUAAAAACUUUAAACACAAGUUUUAAGUUUGAAAGAUGCAAUUGCAUCACUCAAAGAUGAUCCCGCGUUGUAUUAGCUAGUUGGUGAGGUAAAGGCUCACCAAGGCGAUGAUACAUAGCCGACCUGAGAGGGUGAUCGGCCACAUUGGGACUGAGCCACGGCCCAAACUCCUACGGGAGGCAGCAGUAGGGCAUCUUCGGCAAUGGACGACAGUCUGACCGAGCAACGCCGCGUGAGUGAAGAAGGUUUUCGGAUCGUAAAACUCUGUUGGUAGAGAAGAACGUUGGUGAGAGUGGAAAGCUCAUCAAGUGACGGUAACUACCCAGAAAGGGACGGCUAACUACGUG
rnacentral:rRNA from 1 species